rnacentral:lncRNA from 1 species
UCCCUUGGCCUUCAACACAAAACCAUUCACCCCCCUUUCUUUUCUCGUUCACAGCUUGGCUUCCCUUUAGGCAAAGCUUGAUCCUUCAAGCCUUUUAAGGUACACAGGUACUCAUUGUGCUCUUUUCUUCUUAAUUAGAAAUUUUUAUCGGCAUCAUUUAUCUAACAGUUUGAGUCAAAAUAGGUAGCAUCCUUUGGCCAAAAUUGGAAGAAACAUGAGCGAUAAAAAAGGAAGCACUUCAAACCAUGGCUUGAAUUUGAACAUACCCCCACCAAGGGUUGCCAAUCAGAUACCUGAUUCACCAACUCGAUUACCAAUAGCGCCACCAACAUCGCCAACAAGCUCAUGUGUGUCCAGCGAACUAAGCCUAGAUGACAACAGCAGCAGCAGCAGCAGAAAAAACAACAACCGCGGCUGCACUCGGAGCCCUGAAGACAUUUCCAUGGUGCUAGUAGGGUGUUCUCGCUGCCUUAUGUAUAUGAUGGUCAAUGAGGGUGAACCCAAGUGCCCCAAAUGCAAAAGCACCACUUUGAUUCAUUUUCUUAAUUACAACAACAUCCCAUAAGGAGGGGACACAAUGCUAUGCUACCUUGCUGCGAUUUCUGCAUUUUGUGCCGCAAGUAGGAUAAGUUAGCUUUUAAAAAAAAAGGAAUCUCCUUUUUAGGACAUUUCUUUUAUCUUAUGUUUUCUAUCUUUUUCCUAAACCUUUCUUUAUGAGUUGUGCUACUUGCGCUCCACUUUUUACCUUUAUCUCCUCUUCUUAGGAAGGAAAUCACAAAAGAGUUUAAGUGUAAGUAGCACUACAUGUCAGGGAGGUUACUUUUAAUAAAUGGUUGUCUCACCAAGUUUACCAUCUUAAAUAUUAGCUUAGGAAAUUUCCUCCAUCAGUAUGGAUAAUUAACAUAUCAUGUAAACCUGAUUAUAUAAAAUAAGAGAAUGAAUCGCAAGGUAUUUCAAUUAUCUAUCAUUGAUUUUCUUAUUUGAUUCACAUAUGAGUUAGACAGUUUUCAUUUUUGACUUAUUAUGAAUAUGAAAUUAUUUUUCGUUGUCAAUAAUUAUAAUUUUAUUAUCUUUUAUAUCAUUUUCUUAUUUCUAAUUUGACCUCUACUAACUACUAAUAACUGAAUCAAGCAACAUUGGCAACUAAGUGUCAAUAGGCAUAAUUGGAAAUAGGAAAAUGGGAAUAAAUGAAUAUCAUCAAAAUAUAUGUUGAUUUUAACUUUUCAAAUAUUAUUUAUCCUUACUACCUAAACUUUUUAAGUCUUUUGAGUGUGAAUGAUCAAUGUUUGAAUGAAUUUGUGUUAUUAUGAUACAUGAGACUGAUUUAAUAGGUCUGUCUGAUAACCAAUAGAAUAUGACACGUUAUCAAAGUCACGGUGUCUUAAUGAGUGAUUAAAAGAAGUUAAUAGGGCCAUCUGUUUGCUGGGAUGUUACAACGAAUAAAUAGUUGCAUCGUCACGUCAAACCAUCGUAAAUAUUGAACGGAUUUUUGGUUUUGUGCUUCAAGCUUUUUAAAAACAACAACUUAUUUUUAAUUCUUUUAAAAGAAGUUUUCAUGUUGGGGUUAGUUUUUGUUUUCUCCAAUUUUUAGUUUUAAUAUAAACUCAUUUUGAAAGUUUCAUAUCCUAUGAAAUUAGUUUAAGAUUGUUUUUGUGUGGUGGUGACAGUAAUGUUGUAGGUGAUUACAACAUGGUGAUGGUGGUGCCGAUGUCGACUGUGGCAGUGGUGGUGUCAAUAUUGAUGACAAUUGUGGUUUUGGGGAGGAUGGUAGUCGUUGCAUAGGUGGUGAUUGUGGUAGUAGUGUCAGUGCAUAUGGUUAUGGUGGUGGCGGUAGCGGUGCCGAUGGUGGUGGUGGCAAUAGCGAUAGCGGUGCCGAUGAUAAUGUUGGCAAAAAAAAUGAAAAAUGUCAAAUGUAAGAAGUUUGCUUUUGUAAAAAAUAAAAACCCUUAUUUUUUAGAAUAACCAUGCAAAAUACUAAAAGCAUUUGAUGAUGCAGGUGAUUACAACACGGUAGUGGCAGGGUUUCGCAUGUUCGUUGCUACCUCCAUUAUCGCCGGAGAAGGGAAACAUUAACGCUGGAUUAUUCUUGUUUGCCUAUGAAGUGUAUGAACGACGAUGCCGUUUAGGAGUGAAAAUAAGUGGAGUGGAAGGAAGACUGUUUUACUAAUAAGUGGAGUGGAAGGAAGACAGUAAUGAGCUGGCCAUGAAGGUGGAGGUAUUCGAGGUGGCGCGUUCGACGGUGGUGGCGUGGUGCGGUCGGCAGUGGUGGUGGUUUUCGUUGGAGAAGGGGAGGAGGUGAAGAAGGCAAAUACGUGGCAGUGACUAGGCUUGAUGACGUGACACUCUGUCUGCCAUGCCAUCACUUAACGGAAAGGGACUAACUGCAGGCACUACGUUCAAACGUAAAAAAAUUUCAGGUACUAAGUUGAAAAAAAAUGAAUGUUAGGUAGUAAUCUGAAUACGGCCUAUUUUCCAAAUAUGAAAGACUUAAUUAUGAGAUUUUAUGAGUAGCUUUUGAAGCAAUAAUAUUUGAGUUUACUUGGUGGUUUUUACUUUGUUUCAUUAUCUAAUCCAAGAACUUGAGAAGAAAAGGUCAUACUCCUUGAUAUCUUCGAAUUUCCGAGCAAGAAACAAGAGAAGCAAAAAUCAGAAACGUGUUUUAUGCAAAAAAUUGCUUGAUCGGUUUGCGUGUCACUAUCCUACCCCUCUUCUAGUAACCAACUGAUCCACUUCAAUUUUACAUUAUCAAUUAUUAGAAUUUAAUUAGCUUUUAUAUAGUUUUGUUGUAUCCAAUUCAACCUCUAGUUAAAUACUAACAACUUGGCAAGACAACAUUGACGGCUGAUCUCAAUAGGCAAAAGAGAAUAUCAUCAAAACAACAAGGAAUAAAAAGGAAAAUAAAUUGAAUAUCAUCAAAAUAUAUGUUGUUCUUAAAUUUUCUUUUAGUUUUAAAAUAUGAAUUAUUCUUGCUAGCUAGAACAUUCUAUGUCUUUUGAGUAUGGAGAUUCAACAUUUGAAUGAACCAACUAUACUAUGUCACAUGACUCUUAUUUAAUAUGUCUAUCUGAUAUCCGAUAGGAUAUGACAUGGUGUCUUAAAGAGUGAUUAAGAGAAGUUAAGGGGUUCGUUUGUUUGCCCAGAUGUUAUGCUUAAUAAAUAGUUGCCCGUCAAGUCAAACCAUCUUAAAUAUUCAAUGAAAAAUUCACUUUUCUCAUUCAAUACGGUCAUAAAUAAAUAAUAUAAACCUGAUUAAAUUUUCAUGAAAAUUACACAUUACUCAAGUUGCUUUUAUUUCCCUUUAUUGUCUUUAAUUCAACCCUUUGUUAAAUAAUAAAAACAUAAUAAAAUAAUGUUUGCAAUUAAUUGUAAACCGAAAAGAGAAAUAAAUUUUAAUCUAAAAAUACAUAUAUGCUUUAAGUCACCCCCUACAUUUUCAUCCUAUAAAAUGUCUCCCUUGGCCUUCAACACAAAACCAUUCACCCCACUUUCUUUUCUCGUUCACAGCUUGGCUUCCCUUUAGGCAAAGCUUGAUCCUUCAAGCCUUUUAAGGUACACAGGUACUCAUUGUGCUCUUUUCUUCUUAAUUAGAAAUUUUAAUGGGCAUCAUUUAUCUAACAGUUUGAGUCAAAAUAGGUAGCAUCCUUUGGCCAAAAUUGGAAGAAACAUGAGCGAUAAAAAAGGAAGCACUUCAAACCAUGGCUUGAAUUUGAACAUACCCCCACCAAGGGUUGCCAAUCAUAUACCUGAUUCACCAACUCGAUUACCAAUAGCGCCACCAACAUCACCAUCAAGCUCAUGUGUGUCCAGCGAACUAAGCCAAGAUGACAACAGCAGUAGUAGCAGCAACAAGAUCAACAACUGCGGCUGCACUCAGAGCCCUGAAGACAUUUCCAUGGUGCUAGUAGGGUGUUCUCGCUGCAUUAUGUAUAUGAUGGUCAAUGAGGGUGAACCCAUGUGCCCCAAAUGCAAAAGCACCACUUUGAUUCAUUUUCUUAAUUACAACAACAUCCUAUAAGGAGGGGACACAAUGCUAUGCUAC